rnacentral:rRNA from 1 species
GAUGAACGCUGGCGGCGUGCCUAAUACAUGCAAGUCGAGCGAACGGACGAGAAGCUUGCUUCUCUGAUGUUAGCGGCGGACGGGUGAGUAACACGUGGAUAACCUACCUAUAAGACUGGGAUAACUUCGGGAAACCGGAGCUAAUACCGGAUAAUAUUUUGAACCGCAUGGUUCAAAAGUGAAAGACGGUCUUGCUGUCACUUAUAGAUGGAUCCGCGCUGCAUUAGCUAGUUGGUAAGGUAACGGCUUACCAAGGCAACGAUGCAUAGCCGACCUGAGAGGGUGGUCGGCCACACUGGAACUGAGACACGGUCCAGACUCCUCCGGGAGGCAGCAGAAGGGAAUCUUCCGCAAUGGGCGAAAGCCUGACGGAGCAACGCCGCGUGAGUGAUGAAGGUCUUCGGAUCGUAAAACUCUGUUAUUAGGGAAAAACAUAUGUGUAAGUAACUGUGCACAUCUUGACGGUACCUAAUCAGAAAGCCACGGCUAACUACGUG